AUGCAUUUAUCAGACCAAAACCCAUCUGGGAGGGCUUGCCCUGGUAUCUCCCGGCCGCUUUGGUGACCCUAGAUAAUCUCUGGCCAAUCGCACGUCCCUGUGACAGCGAUGACACAUUCGAAUGUCUGCACUAUCAACUUGAUGGUACUUUCUGCACGUACCAUAGUGACCACGGGUGACUGGGAAUUAGGGUUCAGUUCCGGAGAGGGAGUUUGAGAAUGGCUACCACAUCCAAGGAAGGCAGCAUGCGUGCAAAUUACCCACUCCCGACGCAGAUAAGCAGUGAUGAAAAAUAACAAUACAGGACUCUUUCGAGACCCUGUAAUUGGAAUAAGUACACUUUAAAUUCUUUAACCCCUUAAGGACGCAACUUCUGGAAUAAAAGGGAAUCAUGACAGAAUAUUUCCGUCAUGUGUCCUUAAGGGGUUAAUGAGGAUCUAUUGGAGGGCAAGUCUGGUGCCAGCAGUCGUGGUAAUUCCCGUUCCAAUAGCGU